rnacentral:tRNA from 1 species
GGGGUCAUAGCUCAGUUGGUUAGAGCGCUUCGCUUACACCGAAGAGGCCGGGGGUUCGAGUCCCUCUGACCCCA